UCGAGGAUCUUUGGCAAUGGGCGCAAGCCUGACCAAGCGACGCCGCGUGUGCGAUGAAGGCCUUCGGGUUGUAAAGCACUGUCGAGGGGGAGGAAGCCGAAAGGUUGACCUAUCCCUGGAGGAAGCACGGGCUAAGUUCGUGCCAGCAGCCGCGGUAAGACGAACCGUGCGAACGUUGUUCGGAAUCACUGGGCUUAAAGGGCGCGUAGGCGGACCCAACAGUCUGUGGUGAAAGCCUCCAGCUUAACUGGAGAAGUGCCAUGGAUACUGCGGGUCUGGAGGAGGGUAGGGGCAUCUGGAACGCUGGGUGGAGCGGUGAAAUGCGUUGAUAUCCAGCGGAACUCCGGUGGCGAAGGCGAGGUGCUGGACCCUUUCUGACGCUGAGGCGCGAAAGCCAGGGGAGCAAACGG
rnacentral:rRNA from 1 species